rnacentral:rRNA from 1 species
CGCAGCGAAAUGCGAUACGUAGUGUGAAUUGCAGAAUUCCGCGAAUCAUCGAGUCUUUGAACGCAAGUUGCGCCCGAGGCUUGACCGAGGGCAUCUCUGCCAGAGCGUCACCG